rnacentral:tRNA from 2 species
AUCUGAUUGGCGCAAAUGGUAGACGCGACGGAUUCAAACCCCGUUUUCUGUCAGUUCGAAUCUGACAUCAGAUA